UGCGAAUUGACGGGAGAAGCUGGGUUUGUCUUGUUUGUCCAGGAGACGGUGAGGGGGUGAUGAGAUCCUGCUCUGUCCGAACCUUUGUGGGGAAUUUCUUCUGUGGCUGGAAGCGGAUGCUGUAGGACAAUGCAGAAUUAAAGAUGCCGUAAGCGUGAAGGAUGCUGAAAACCUGUUCCCCAAUUUCAGAGGACACCUCUGUUUCCUACGAGGCACACGCUGAGGGUUGACUCACCAUGCUGAGUGUACUGCUGACUCUGGAAACGGGAUGCUGAUGAUGCAAACCUGGCAAAGCGAUGGAAAUAAAAAGCGCGUAUCUCGAAAGUUCCCUCUUCUUCAACCCUUCAUGGUUCAGCACAGCAGUCCCGUGUAAGGAUACCUACAUUUGGAGCUAAUUUUCUUGCCUACUGAAGAUAAAGAUACACGGUUACAAAUUAAAACUAUCACAAAUUUAACGGCUGGUGGAACCUGUGCUGUGGAAGUUUUUUGACUUAGAAACAUCCUUCAUCGUGAAGGCUAUGCUGUGAGAUUACCUCAGCCGGCGUUACGUUUCACAGGAUAAAUUCCAAUCCAAAUGCUAAGCAGCCGAUCUUCCGCACGUUGCCAAGGCAGAUGCAGAUACUAAAAGGAUGCUCAAGAUGGACAACUGCAACUCCUCUGCCUCGCUGGGAGUGGGAGUGAGGCACAUGGUCCCACACACCGGGGAGCUGGAGCCUGAGUCUCUGAGAAGGAGCAGCCUUUACCCGAUGGCCUCGGUGUCCCACAGCCCCCGCAUCGCUCCGCAGCACACGAAGGGUUGAGGGUCUGCUCUGCAGACCUCUGCUUGGAUCCAGCGGUCCCAUUGCACUGCUGCUUUGCAGGUCUUUCUCCUCGAGCUGAGGGGUCACAAGUCCUCCACUUCUUUGGACCAGUGCAGUGGUCCAAACCCCAGGAUGCUGAAGGCCUUUGUCUUGCCAGCCCUGUGCUUCUGCACAUGUAAAGUAAUUCCUGCCUCUGCAGCGUGUUCUCAGAUGUUUGUGAAUGCCGAUUGCUGGAUUUCGUGACUGCCCGACAUACGUCACAGUGGGUCCUACUGACGCAUACCUACGAAAGCUCACCUGGCUCGUUCCCUGCCAGGUGACACGGGAAGCAGGUAGCUCACAGCCAAACUGCUUCAUUUCUUUGCUCAGCGAAGGCAAGGAUCAGCUCCAGAUGCCCGCCCAACAUUCCUGUACAACUGGAUUGCUGUCUGCCAUCAUAAACUCUUUUUAAUUUUUUUUUCACAGUUUGUCAUAAAUUUAGUCUCGCAGAAAAGUCUUGCUCUUGUCAUUGCCUUGUAACUUAGUAAAAGGGGUACAGGACAACGUCCCUGAUCAUAUCUGAUUGCUGCUGGAUAAGUGCUCCGUGAGGCCAAGGAAGUAAUGAGAAGAAUAUAAAUAUCAGCUUUAGAAAGAGAUGUUACUGGACUCCUGUGGCAAUUUCCUAUGGUAAUAAGCAUCCAGAAGGAUAUUAAAAAUGUCAUUUGUGCUUUAAAAGUAAUAAUAAUUGAAAUAGAUUCUGGCAUCUUUUAUAACAACAGAGCCAACAAUUAUUACUGGGAAAAUUUUAAAAGAAAACAAACACAUUAAAUAAUUAGUUAAUUGAAUUGCCAAUAUGCUGCUGCUGCUGAAAUUAAUCUGAAAAAUAUGAGAUUAGCAGCGUGGUUUUGCACAAUUAUAGUUGGUUGGAGGUAAAAUUAAGAGGAGGACUGGGAUGCGUUCAGCUGGAAAGCAGACUCCGUCGGCACGGAGCCCGGUCUGCGGCGCGGGGUCCUGUGGGACCCUGGUGCCCGGGGCUGCGACGGGUCCCUGCUGCGGGCACACGGGCCCAUGGCCGGCCACGCCGUCUCGGUCAGGGAGCUGAGAUCCGGCGUCGUGUCCCGCGCACUUGCCCGACAUCGGUUUCUGUGAGCAAUGCCCCUUUUGCUCAGCAUUGUAAAGUUAAUACUCCACAAGCAAGCUGAGCUAUAAAUUUAUUAUCAUUCCUGUUUUUAC